rnacentral:rRNA from 1 species
CCUACGGGGGGCAGCAGUGGGGAAUAUUGGACAAUGGGCGCAAGCCUGAUCCAGCCAUACCGCGUGGGUGAAGAAGGCCUUCGGGUUGUAAAGCCCUUUUGUUGGGAAAGAAAUCCAGCUGGUUAAUACCCGGUUGGGAUGACGGUACCCAAAGAAUAAGCACCGGCUAACUUCGUGCCAGCAGCCGCGGUAAUACGAAGGGUGCAAGCGUUACUCGGAAUUACUGGGCGUAAAGCGUGCGUAGGUGGUCGUUUAAGUCCGUUGUGAAAGCCCUGGGCUCAACCUGGGAACUGCAGUGGAUACUGGACGACUAGAGUGUGGUAGAGGGUAGCGGAAUUCCUGGUGUAGCAGUGAAAUGCGUAGAG